GGGCUUCAUAGUCUUGCAAUUGGAAUGAGUAGAUUUUAAAUCUCUUUACGAGUAUCAAUUGGAGGGCAAGUCUGGUGCCAGCAGCCGCGGUAAUUCCAGCUCCAAUAGCGUAUAUUAAAGUUGUUGCGGUUAAAAAGCUCGUAGUUGGAUUUCUGCCAAGAACGACCGUCCUACCUUCGGGUUUUGGACCGUGUUGAUCGAGGCAUUCUUCUAGAUUCUAUCUAUUCUUAAUUGCUGUAGAAUUGAACUAGAACAUUUACUUUGAGGAAAUUAGAGUGUUUCAAGCAGGCCUAUGCCUUGAAUAUAUUAGCAUGGAAUAAUAAUUUAGGACUUCGGUUCUAUUUUGUUGGUUCUUAGAACUGAAGUAAUGAUUAAUAGGGACAGUCGGGGGCAUUCGUACUCAACCGUCAGAGGUGAAAUUC
rnacentral:rRNA from 1 species